UGCAGAUUAAGACUAGACGAUUUCCUAGGCAGAUAUUAACUUGGGACUAUAUUGAGUGGAAGCACAGCCAAAGCACUGCUACAUGGGCGCAGAGAUCACGCAGCACCUUAAACCCCCCAACUUCCUUCAACAUACCCGGCAUGAAUAGCUGGCUAUUUCUCCUACAGCAGACAGUGAAUGGCCAUGAACAUGGCGGAUUUUGUGAGAGACGAAGAGGAUGAUUUCUCAGACUGUCGU